rnacentral:rRNA from 1 species
UUUAUGGAGAGUUUGAUCCUGGCUCAGGAUGAACGCUGGCGGCGUGCCUAAUACAUGCAAGUCGAGCGAACGGACGAGAAGCUUGCUUCUCUGAUGUUAGCGGCGGACGGGUGAGUAACACGUGGAUAACCUACCUAUAAGACUGGGAUAACUUCGGGAAACCGGAGCUAAUACCGGAUAAUAUUUUGAACCGCAUGGUUCAAAAGUGAAAGACGGUCUUGCUGUCACUUAUAGAUGGAUCCGCGCUGCAUUAGCUAGUUGGUAAGGUAACGGCUUACCAAGGCAACGAUGCAUAGCCGACCUGAGAGGGUGAUCGGCCACACUGGAACUGAGACACGGUCCAGACUCCUACGGGAGGCAGCAGUAGGGAAUCUUCCGCAAUGGGCGAAAGCCUGACGGAGCAACGCCGCGUGAGUGAUGAAGGUCUUCGGAUCGUAAAACUCUGUUAUUAGGGAAGAACAUAUGUGUAAGUAACUGUGCACAUCUUGACGGUACCUAAUCAGAAAGCCACGGCUAACUACGUGCCAGCAGCCGCGGUAAUACGUAGGUGGCAAGCGUUAUCCGGAAUUAUUGGGCGUAAAGCGCGCGUAGGCGGUUUUUUAAGUCUGAUGUGAAAGCCCACGGCUCAACCGUGGAGGGUCAUUGGAAACUGGAAAACUUGAGUGCAGAAGAGGAAAGUGGAAUUCCAUGUGUAGCGGUGAAAUGCGCAGAGAUAUGGAGGAACACCAGUGGCGAAGGCGACUUUCUGGUCUGUAACUGACGCUGAUGUGCGAAAGCGUGGGGAUCAAACAGGAUUAGAUACCCUGGUAGUCCACGCCGUAAACGAUGAGUGCUAAGUGUUAGGGGGUUUCCGCCCCUUAGUGCUGCAGCUAACGCAUUAAGCACUCCGCCUGGGGAGUACGACCGCAAGGUUGAAACUCAAAGGAAUUGACGGGGACCCGCACAAGCGGUGGAGCAUGUGGUUUAAUUCGAAGCAACGCGAAGAACCUUACCAAAUCUUGACAUCCUUUGACAACUCUAGAGAUAGA